GUGUCAUGUUGCGGGCACAUUCUCAAGAGCUCCUUGAACCUUUCCCACAUCUCAAAUAGAGACUCUAAUUCUGACUAUAUAAAGGACAAGAACUCAUUCCUAAGCUU